UUGAGUUUUAUAAUUAUUUUAUAUAGUUCCUCAAACAAUGCCACAUCGUAAGAAACACUAGAUGUCUAAGAAGUAUAAAAUAAUUGGUCACAAUUUUCCAGAAUCGAUUUACGUAAUGACUAGAACCAAUUUUAUAAACAACGGUUCUGCAAAAAGGUCUAUAAAACCUCGAAUCCAUAGGAGCGAGUGUUAGUUUUUUCACCAGAGCUGAACAAUUUUCGUAAAAUGAAAGUGAUUCUUAUUACUCUUUUAUUAAUAACCCUACUUGUUUUUGUAAUGGGCCUAGAAAACUCUGACUGCGAACCCCUUAUUGAGCCUAGGAGGAAAUGCAAACCUUCUGAUCCCGUUCGCCGAGGAUUUACAUAUGACGAAUCAGCAAAUAAAUGUGAAAAAAAAGAAAUAUGUACGCUAAAAACUAAAGGCAACAAUUUUUACAAGGAUAUCGCUGCAUGCGAAGCAAAGUGCAAGAAAUAACAAACCAUCGUAAACAGUCAGGCUUAAAAUAAAUUAAGUUAUCCUGUUCAGAAAAAAAUGUUAACUACACCCAAAGAAAAUACACUGAAAGUUUAGUUUUAAAACGUGUGUCUGGAAAAUAAACAACAUACAGUACAAAAGUAUAA